GCUCAUUUUCUCUAUCGAUAAACCUGUUCAGAUUUGCAGCUUAGCUGCAUCAGUAAAAUACUAAGCAAACCACAAAAUAAAUGGAGGAAUGAAGAGAAAUAUUUUAAGGAGAAUGAAAGAAAUUCUAGAACAUACCUCAAAUGUGUGUGAAAAUAUGCAUAUACAUGUAUAUGAAGAAUGUAUCCAACUAUCCAUUGCAAACAUACAUGUGUGCAUAUGUGUACGUAUUUCUUAUUUCACAUGGACAAUAUCCAUUUAAGAAUCAGUUUACUCCUUCAAUAUCAAAUGCAUUUUCUAUAAUACAAGAAGCCUAAGUGAAGACAAAACAUUAGCGUUGCAAUAGUGAUAUGUGAGUGUCAUUUUCAAAAGCAUUAAGACUGCAUGCUUAGGCAUCAUAGCCACAAAUGAGAAACAGACGAACAGUAAAAUAAAUUUCAUCCAAAUGCAGCAGUUUAGCAAUGUCUGGCAGCAGGAGAAAUGAGUUCCUUAGUCAAACAAACAAUCUAGGAUGAACAGAGAUCUUACUCAAUGUAGGCCAUUGGUGCAGCAUCACCAACUCUUAUGCGGGUCCGAAGCAGUCUUGUGUAACCACCUGCUCUAUCCUUGUAACGAUAAGCCAGUUCUGUAAAUAGCUUGUGAAGGACAUCAUCCCCUCUAACAAAAGCAGCUGCACGCCUUGCAGCACAAAGGGAGCCCUGUAAUUUUUGCCGAAUAGAAUGCAAUAAUUAUAGCAUGUUACUCCAUAUACUUUCACAAGGCUCCAUUUAUUCUUUUUAAGUAAAUUCAAUAGGAGCACUAAAGGGGCAUAGCUUACGCAAUUAAUGAAAGAAACAUCCUUAAACUAAACGACAAGGUAAAGCACAAAGAGAAAAAGGCUCAUAAAAAGUCAAGAAAUUCUUAAAAAGAAAGUUAACACAAAAUAUUAGAAUCCACCAAUGAAAGAAAUACGUCAGGAAGGUAGUGAGGCAGGGAUUUCACUUUUCCUGCAAUGCUACAUCCUGAACAAAUUGGGAAGUCCUUAUUUUUGUCUCCUCAGGGAUGGGAUUGGGGGAAAUUGAUCCCCGCCGGAGGGGAUGGAAGUAUAAUCUCUGCCCCACGGGGAUCCCCAACUUCAGGCCUAUACGAAUACUUAAUUUAGGGAGGUACGAGAUAGGAUGGAAAUUCCCCAUUGAGGUGGAGAUGAGGAUGGAAAAUGAGUUCAUCCUUGCCCCAUUCCCAUUCCCCAACUCCUAGAAUAAGCUAAGCCGUAGAGAAAGCCAAUUCUGUUUUAGCACUGUAUGAUAGUUCUCAGUUCAAGGCCACACCUAUUAUGCAUAUUUCCAAUUAUACCUGCAUAUAAAGAAUUUCUAAAGCUCAACAACAUAUGCUUCUUGCUAAAAUAUAUAAAGGGAAAAUGUUUAUAGAGAUUAAAAACCACAACUGUUGAGCAAAAUGCUUUUCACGUAAUCUUGAGAACCAUAUCGUGAACAAGCAAUAUAUCCUUCUAAUAAAGUUAAUUGCAAUUCAUGGGUGCAGGGGGGAAUCAUAAUCGCUACCUUUUCCCAAAAGUUUUAGAAUGAACAGAAGCAAAAAUAAGCCCCUUAACAAACAUAACAUGUUACUUUGUUGAGAUGCUAGGAACUUGGACAAGAUUGCAUUCAUAUCCUUAAGCCAGUAUCAUCUAUUCAACAUUUUAGAAAGUGCAGCAUGCAAUAGAAUGCUAACUUAAUCAUAUAAAUGAUUUCAUAAGCAAACCUCUUUCCCA
rnacentral:misc_RNA from 1 species